rnacentral:rRNA from 1 species
UCGGGAAUUUUGUGCAAUGGGCGAAAGCCUGACACAGCAACGCCGCGUGAAGGAUGAAGUCCCUCGGGAUGUAAACUUCGUAAGAAUAGGAAGAAUAAAUGACGGUACUAUUUGUAAGGUCCGGCUAACUACGUGCCAGCAGCCGCGGUAAUACGUAGGGACCAAGCGUUGUUCGGAUUUACUGGGCGUAAAGGGUGCGUAGGCGGCAUAUCAAGUCACUUGUGAAAUCUCCGGGCUUAACUCGGAACUGCCAAGUGAUACUGAUGUGCUAGAGUGCAGAAAGGGCAACUGGAAUUCUUGGUGUAGCGGUGAAAUGCGUAGAUAUCAAGAGGAACACCUGAGGCGAAGGCGAGUUGCUAGGCUGACACUGACGCUGAGGUACGAAAGCUAGGGGAGCGAACGGGAUUAGAUACCCGGGUAGUCCCUGAGCGGGCUGGCAAGGCGCAU